UACGGGGGGGGCAAGCGUUGUUCGGAAUUACUGGGCGUAAAGCGCGUGUAGGCUGCUUCGAAAGUCGGAUGUGAAAGCCCCCGGCUCAACUGGGGAGGGUCACGCGAUACUGCUCGACUUGAAGGCAGGAGAGGGAAGGUGGAAUUCCCGGUGUAGUGGUGAAAUGCGUAGAUAUCGGGAGGAACACCAGUGGCGAAGGCGACUUCCUGGCCUGUUCUUGACGCUGAGGCGCGAAAGCUAAGGGUAGCAAACGGGG
rnacentral:rRNA from 1 species